GGUAAAGAAUUAAUUGUAAAAGAAGUUUGUGUACCGUAGCAGCCAGGAAGACGGAGGCUUUCAGGAGCCUCGGGCUCCCAGGUUGGGGAGAGAGAAAAGGAGAAAUUCUGUGUGUAAAGGAGAGAGGCAGGACUGGGAGCUUCUGGAAAGGGUUUCGGGUAGCAGCUAGAGAGGGAGAUGAGGGGAAAGCGCCAACUCGGCAUCUCCCUACUUAUCCCCAUCCCCUCCUGCACCCCAAGAGCAGGCAGGCUAGGUAGCUAAGGAGGUCUGAGUAGGAGGAGAAGGGACAAUGUCUUAAUGAAACUGCAAAGCACGGAUCUGAGGAAAGCGAGGUGCGGCUGCCGGGAAAGGAAGAAGGAGAGAAGGGUAAAUAAAUAAAUAAAGACAGAAACACAACUCUGAGACUCAGCGCCGUUACUGACAAGAGUGGGGAAGAGUCCAGGAGAGCAAAAUCGUUCAGGAAGGAGAGAGAGAUAAGCAGCUUGGAGGCGGGAGAUGCAGCGGUAACGGCAAUAGCUUCGGCCGCGCCGAAACUUACCCUUUAAUAUUGAGCACCCUUGCCCAGGAGAGCAGCCAGCGAGUUGCAAGGUUGUAAGGGGCUUUCAGAAUAGCAACUGGUGGGGAAAUGAAGUGUUAUUCACAUCCUUUACUUUCAGUUCUCCAAGUUGAGAUUUCUCUGAACAUUUUAAUUGGUUGCAAGAGUAAAGGAGGAAAAAAGGCCAUAUUAAAGAGCUGGUCCUCUCAGAAAGGGAAAGAGGGCCACCUACUGGAGGCUGAAGAGAACUACAGGGAACAAAGCUGCAAAAGAACUACAGAAUACUGGAAAACAGAAGAGAGGCCCAUGGGGAAUGACUGCCACCUUGUGGAAGCUAAGAAAUGCUGAAGGAAAUACAGUUAGAGACAAUGCCAGACAUGGAAAAGAAGCCACAAAUGACCACUUCUGCAUGAGCAGGGGAGAGUACCAAUGUGAAGGAGUAACUCCUGAUUUCCUUCUGUUGGAACCCAUGCAGGGAAGUUUAAUAAAUGACUCAGAUGAUACAGUCCUCUUAGGAUUUGUCACUGGUGCAGAUAAAUGGUGGAAUCUUAUUUCAAUCAGAAAGUGCCAAGAACAAGAAAAGAUGGAGAAUUUUGAUUGUCGUGAGGACAGAGACUCAAACAGCUGGAGGCCCUUCAAUUCUCUUUUAGUGUCUAUCCAUCUAAGAAAAAAUGGCAUUAAGGAUUCCUCUCGAUUUGCAUGGAGGAAAGGGGAAAAUCAGAUUGAAAUUAAGAGCUAUGCUCUCAAAAUGACUAAAACCCAGAACAAUGCUCACAGAGGAAUAGACUGAACUUGAAUAUAAUAUGUACAGCCUUUAAUGAAAGGCCAACUGGACCCAACUGAAGAAGCCAGAAGAGGGAUGAAGACUAAAAAGACAGCUUUUCCAUUCAGGACAUGUGCAGUUUAGGACAACACAAAGUGAAGCUGGAGGUGGUUGGUUUUUUUCUGGGGCUUUUUUUCCCAGUGUUUCUGUUUGUUUUCUACCUUAGGGUUUGACUCUAGGGAUUUCCACCCCAGUCAGGCUUACUCUGUUUUUCAAACUAAAUAAAUUACUCUUAAAAAACACUUUUGACUCUAACACAAACUCAGGAAAACAAAAAAAAAGCCUUUAAAAAGUUUCUGGAACAUAGUAGGCAUUUAAUAUGCUGAUAAAUAGGUAUCUCCCAUGCUUAUGCCAGAGAAUUAAUAGUACUGCAACUCCUCAAGAUUCUAAUCUUCCUUAAAGAUACAGGAACAACAGCAUUUAUAGUCUCUGUGGAAGAGGCUUUUGAAGCCAGCUUUAUAAUAUGAAUAACUGAAAUCUGUAGGGCCUAGAAUUGUUUAUAUACUUUAGCUCAUUUUUAUUGCAUUUUCUGUAAUCAAUCAAUAAACAUUUAGAAAGCACCUACCAUGUGUUAGGCACUGUGCUAAGCCCUGCACCAGUCUGUGUUGAGCAUCGCACAUUUAGAACUGGAAAAAGGCAUUCAAUCUCUUCAUUUUAUAAGUGAAAAAACUGAGGCCCAUAGAGUUUAAGUAAUUUGCCCUAGGUUACAUAGAUGGUAAGUAGAAAAGUUAGGGUUUGAACUUAGGCACUCUGGCUCCAGUGUUCCUUCCUUUUCACACUCUGCUACCCAAGUUAUGACAACCAACCUUAUGUCCCAGAGGCUUCAAGUGGUUCAUUCCUUCAUUCCCUAACCAUUGCUGCCAUCCUGCAUCCUACCCCAUCCACCUUGGCUUCUUUCUAAGGUGAUUUCAAAAAUUAGGCAACAAUUAUUUUCUACAAUUUAGCCAAUUUGAUACCGGGCCCAUAUAGAUCAUGAAACCCGAGACAUUGGUAGCCACCAUAUUCUCUCUUUUUCAGCCUACCCAGAAUAGUCUAGGCCAUAAGCCAUUAUUUUUGCCAGCACACCACAACCUAAAAACCUUGUACAGGCCAAGCACGAUAGCUGGAAAUCUCAGCAUCCCCGCUUCAGUUCCCUGGUCUGCUUUUUUUUUUUAUAGCUAGACAUGCCCCCUUCCAAAAGAUUCCUUCUGUAUAGAAGAGACCUGUUCAAUCUGGUCUCCCUGGCCACAUACCUACAGGUAUUCCAAUGAAAGCCUAUAGAAGGCCUUGGUUUUCUUCCUCAACCCCUACUCAUAGAAACAUACUUUUCUGUUCCUAUAGCAUAAAAGCCUUUAAGACGAGUAGGACAAAGA